AAAAAAAAAGGCCUGAAGGAAUGAACAAAUGAAAGUUAAA
rnacentral:sRNA from 1 species